rnacentral:rRNA from 2 species
CGCGUAGGCGGUCUUUUAAGUCAGAUGUGAAAGCCCUCGGCUUAACCGAGGAAGUGCAUUUGAUACUAAGAGACUUGAGUAUGGGAGAGGGAAGCGGAAUUCCUGGUGUAGCGGUGAAAUGCGUAGAUAUCAGGAGGAACACCGGUGGCGAAGGCGGCUUCCUGGACCAAUACUGACGCUGAGGCGCGAAGGCGUGGGGAGCAAACA